rnacentral:rRNA from 1 species
AGUGAACGCUGGCGGCAUGCUUUACACAUGCAAGUCGAACGGUAACAGGUUAAGCUGACGAGUGGCGAACGGGUGAGUAAUGCAUCGGAACGUGCCCGAUCGUGGGGGAUAACGCAGCGAAAGCUGCGCUAAUACCGCAUACGAUCUAUGGAUGAAAGCGGGGGAUCGCAAGACCUCGCGCGAUUGGAGCGGCCGAUAUCAGAUUAGGUAGUUGGUGGGGUAAAGGCUCACCAAGCCGACGAUCUGCAGCUGGUCUGAGAGGACGAUCAGCCGGAUUGGGACUGAGAUACGGCCCAGACUACUACGGGGGGCAGCAAUUAGGAAUCUUCCGCAAUGGACGCAAGUCUGACGGAGCAACGCCGCGUGAGUGAGGAAGGUCGUCGGAUCGCAAAGCUCUGUUGCCAGGGAAGAAUAGCUUCAUGUCAACUGCAUGGAGUGUGACGGUACCUGAGAAGAAAGCCCCGGCUAACUACGUGCCAGCCGCCGCCGUAA